AGUGAACGCUGGCGGUAGGCCUAACACAUGCAAGUCGAACGGCAGCACAGAGGAGCUUGCUCCUUGGGUGGCGAGUGGCGGACGGGUGAGGAAUACAUCGGAAUCUACUCUGUCGUGGGGGAUAACGUAGGGAAACUUACGCUAAUACCGCAUACGACCUACGGGUGAAAGCAGGGGAUCUUCGGACCUUGCGCGAUUGAAUGAGCCGAUGUCGGAUUAGCUAGUUGGCGGGGUAAAGGCCCACCAAGGGGACGAUCCGUAGCUGGUCUGAGAGGGUGAUCAGCCACACUGGAACUGAGACACGGUCCAGACUCCUACGGGAGGCAGCAGUGUGGAAUAUCGGACAAUGGGCGCAAGCCUGAUCCAGCCAUACCGCGUGGGUGAAGAAGGCCUUCGGGUUGUAAAGCCCUUUUGUUGGGAAAGAAAUCCAUCUGGUUAAUACCCGGGUGGGAUGACGGUACCCAAAGAAUAAGCACCGGCUAACUUCGUGCCAGCCGCCGCAGUAA
rnacentral:rRNA from 1 species